CACCAAGUGUGUAUGAUCAGAUAGACCCCGCCCCUGUAAAGGACGUAACGGUCCACAUUGGGGACUGUAGACACGGCCCAGUACUCCUACGUGAAGGCAGUUAUUGGGGAAUCGUUCCGCUAUGGGCGAAAGCCGUGACGCGAGCAACGCUCAGUUGAGUGAUGAAGGUCUUCGGACUGUAAAA
rnacentral:rRNA from 1 species